rnacentral:rRNA from 1 species
UACAGAGGGUGCAAGCGUUGUUCGGAAUUAUUGGGCGUAAAGAGCUCGUAGGCGGUGUGUCACGUCGGCCGUGAAAACCUGGGGCUUAACUCUGGGCGUGCGGUCGAUACGGGCAUCACUAGAGUUCGGCAGGGGAGACUGGAAUUCCUGGUGUAGCGGUGAAAUGCGCAGAUAUCAGGAGGAACACCGGUGGCGAAGGCGGGUCUCUGGGCCGAUACUGACGCUGAGGAGUGAAAGCAUGGGUAGCGAACAGG